rnacentral:rRNA from 1 species
CCUACGGGAGGCAGCAGUGAGGAAUAUUGGUCAAUGGUCGGGAGACUGAACCAGCCAAGCCGCGUGCGGGAUGAAGGUACAGAGUAUCGUAAACCUCUUUUGUCAGGGAACAAAGGCGGGUACGUGUCCCCGGAUGAGUGUACCUGACGAAAAAGCAUCGGCUAACUCCGUGCCAGCAGCCGCGGUAAUACGGGGGAGGCGAGCGUUAUCCGGAUUUAUGGGGGUUAAAGGGUGCGCAGGCGGUCUGUUAAGUCAGCGGUAAAAGCCCGGGGCUCAACCCCGGCCCGCCGUUGAAACUGGCAGUCUAGAGUUGGAGAGAAGUAGGCAGAAUGCGCGGUGUAGCGGUGAAAUGCAUAGAUAUCGCGCAGAACUCCGAUUGCGAAGGCAGCAUGCCGGCUCCAAACUGACGCUGAGGCACGAAAGCGUGGGUAUCGAACAGGAUUAGAUACCCCAGUAGUC